rnacentral:tRNA from 1 species
GCCCGGAUGGUGGAAUUGGUAUACACGUACGUCUCAGAAGCGUAUGCCUCACAGCUUGCGAGUUCGAGUCUCGCUUCGGGCA